AAAGGUGCACUGCAGUGAGGACAAAUGUGAAGUCAUGGAAAUGGCUCUGCACAUCUUUCCUUCUCCAGGAGACUAUGUAAACCUAUAGCGAAGCCACCCUGGCGAGAUCAGAGAUCAAGACUCAAAGAUGCCAUCCUGAGACUUCUUUGAAACCCUGGGGUCUCUUUCUGUUUAGCUUGAUUGGGAAAUUUGUAAUUCUCGGAUUAUCACUAGACUCACUAUGUGAAGGAUGCUCAGGCUGAAAUGAAAGCUAUGAAGGCACUGCUCUGGAGACAAAGAAGAUAGAUCUGGUUGAGCUAUAUUAUUUAAAUUUGAGCAGAAGUAUGCUGCAUCAGAGCUUUGUUUAAACCAUAGGAAGUGAAUACCGAACUCUAAUUUCUCUGCUGGAGAAGAACACAGAGAGACAAUAUCCAACUUUACAUUAUUGAUUUGCACAUGGGCCUUUCCAGAACCUCCUCAGUUAGAUGAUGUACCCAUCAAUGGGAUCAGAAAUGAUUUUCCGAUUAAUGCCAAACUCUUUCCAAGCAACUCUAAAAAAGCAGACAAUAUUGACUGUAUUUUGCACAGCAUGAAAGAGAAACCAUUAUAAAGCUAAGAAUUAAUCACCUUUAAGAGAAAAAUCUCAGAGUUGAGGUCAAAGCCAACAUUUCAGUGUGAGCAGGCAGCCAGAUAAGGGUUCCUAAGAUUGUAAGAGGCUUCUAGUUCAAAGGCAUUUGAGGCAUUUCUCUUUGGAAAUGUUUAAAGUAGUCCUCAUGGGACUCUGGUUAUUUACUGAGAGAAUUGUAAGAAUGAAGACUAUACUCUCUCCAGUCUGGCUACUCAUCUUCCCAGGCAAUCUCUCCUCCUUACAAAUACUCUUGAUACUAUCUAUUGCAACCUGAUAUAACCAUUGACUUAUCAGGCAGAACCACAGGCUUCGGACUUCCAACCUUCAAGAUUAUAAAAGGUGUAUACUGGGCAUGUCAAAUUUACAUAUAUCCAACCUCAGAUUUUUUUUGCAACAGUAGAAAACAAUCUAAUAUAAUAAUCAUGUAUAUAUAUAUGUAUAUAUAUGAAUAUAGAAUAAUUAAAUAAGCCUUUAAUAUCACCAGAGAAGUUGUUAAAUAUUCUCCCAUUUCACAAACCUGCAGAAGGUAGUCCUUUGGGUGGAGGUAAACAUCAUUAAAAUGUCAGUUGAGGCAAGGAAACCAAUGAUGUUUUUCUGUAUAAUACUGGGAAUAGAUUAUUCAUUUUAUAGAUAAAUAAUGAAAAAUGGAUGUAAUUUGUUUUCAAUUUGACAUGCCCAAUAUAUAGUUUUUUGGUUAAAAAAAAACUACUUAAAUUUCAAAAGAGCAUCUCUGAUUGACAUCUGAAUACUAAAACUCAUGUUGCCACCAAAGUAUGAUGUAGAUAGGAGUGGUGGACACUUCAUGGGCAUCCCUAGAGCACAAUAAGGAGAGUGCUAUGUGCAGCUGAGCUCUCGCUUUCAAGAAACAUGAUAGCAGGCAUCAGCUUAAUGGCACAGAGUGCCCAGAGCUCCUGUCCCACGAGUCAGGAAAUGGAUGCACCCAGCCCACGUAGGAGGGAGUGUUUCCUCCCUGCCCUUUGCAGAAUUUCUCCUAGUGUUUUCUUCAGGGAAGACAUGCUUGAAAGGCACAUCCAAAGACAUUGUUUCACAAUAGAUUCUUAAUUAUGGAAAAACACAAAAAUUGUGUGUUUAUGUGGUGUUGAGGUAUGAAAGCAGCAUCUUAUACACUGGGACUAGGUUUAAAAGUGGCUGUGAGAUGUCACACGAGUCCUGGGAACUGAGCCCUGGUUUUCUGGAAGAGCUAAGACAUCUCUCCGGCCACCUACUUGGAAUCCUGAAUGCUAGCUACCUAUGCCAUUUGCUGCUGUGUAAUACUAAAAGGCUGUACAGAGAGAAUGAGCUUCCUAAUAAACUGAUAUUUCCA
rnacentral:lncRNA from 1 species